GGCUGGGUCCCGUGCGACGGUCCUCCGUGAACCGAGUCAGGGGUGGAAGCCAGCAGCUCUCAGCGGACGGCGCCGGGUGCCACGGUCCGCCUGGUCGUC
rnacentral:SRP_RNA from 1 species